rnacentral:rRNA from 1 species
AGAGUUUGAUCAUGGCUCAGGACGAACGCUGGCGGCGUGCUUAACACAUGCAAGUCGAACGGAAAGGCCCUGCUUGCAGGGUGCUCGAGUGGCGAACGGGUGAGUAACACGUGGGUGAUCUGCCCUGCACUUCGGGAUAAGCUUGGGAAACUGGGUCUAAUACCGGAUAGGACCAUGGCCUGCAUGGGUUGUGGUGGAAAGAUUUUAUUGGUGUGGGAUGGGCCCGCGGCCUAUCAGCUUGUUGGUGGGGUGAUGGCCUACCAAGGCGACGACGGGUAGCCGGCCUGAGAGGGUGUCCGGCCACACUGGGACUGAGAUACGGCCCAGACUCCUACGGGAGGCAGCAGUGGGGAAUAUUGCACAAUGGGCGCAAGCCUGAUGCAGCGACGCCGCGUGGGGGAUGACGGCCUUCGGGUUGUAAACCUCUUUCACCAUCGACGAAGGUCCAUGUUUGUGGGUUGACGGUAGGUGGAGAAGAAGCACCGGCCAACUACGUGCCAGCAGCCGCGGUAAUACGUAGGGUGUGAGCGUUGUCCGGAAUUACUGGGCGUAAAGAGCUCGUAGGUGGUUUGUCGCGUUGUUCGUGAAAUUCCCUGGCUUAACUGGGGGCGUGCGGGCGAUACGGGCAGACUGGAGUACUGCAGGGGAGACUGGAAUUCCUGGUGUAGCGGUGGAAUGCGCAGAUAUCAGGAGGAACACCGGUGGCGAAGGCGGGUCUCUGGGCAGUAAUUGACGCUGAGGAGCGAAAGCGUGGGGAGCGAACAGGAUUAGAUACCCCCGUAGUCC